AGUGAACGCUGGCGGCGUGCCUAAUACAUGCAAGUCGAACGGAGUGGCUCACGGGUGAGUAAUGUAUAGCUAAUCUGCCCUACACUAGAGGACAACAGUUGGAAACGGCUGCUAAUACUCUCUAGUGUAGGUUGAGGCUAUAUUGUAUCAGCUAGUUGGUUAGGUAAUGGCUCACCAAGGCUAUGACGCAUAACUGGUCUGAGAGGAUGAUCAGUGACACGUGAACGGAGACACGGUGCAGACGCCUACGGGAGGCAGCAGUAGGGAAUAUGGCUCAAUGGGGGAAACCCUGAAGCAGCAACGCUGGGUGGAGGAUGACACUUUUCGGAGAGGAAACUCCUUUUGUUAGGGAAGCGGUACCUAAAGAAAAAGCACCGGCUAACUCCGUGCCAGCAGCCGCGGUAAUUC
rnacentral:rRNA from 1 species